ensembl:Mt_tRNA
AGUAACGUCAGCUAAUUAAGCUUUUGGGCCCAUACCCCAACCAUGCAGGUUAAAAUCCUACCGUUGCUG